GACGUAGGGUCCAAGCGUUGUUCGGAAUUACUGGGCGUAAAGCGCACGUAGGCGGACAUUUAAGUCAGGGGUGAAAUCCCAGAGCUCAACUCUGGAACUGCCUUUGAUACUGGGUGUCUUGAGUAUGGAAGAGGUGAGUGGAAUUCCGAGUGUAGAGGUGAAAUUCGUAGAUAUUCGGAGGAACACCAGUGGCGAAGGCGGCUCACUGGUCCAUUACUGACGCUGAGGUGCGAAAGCGUGGGGAGCAAACAGG
rnacentral:rRNA from 1 species